rnacentral:rRNA from 1 species
AUGGCUGUGCUAGUGCUACCCAAGUGCCUUCUUCUGUUCUCCCUCUGCGCAGUGCUCCUCUCUCUGCCGGGCACCGGCGCCUCCGCCGUGAACUUCACCAUCGGCGUGCAGGGCAUGGUCUGGUGCAAGACCUGCAGGUACAUCGGCUACAACGCCGACAUGGACGCCUCCCCGCUCCAAGGCGUGGAGGUGUACCUGCAGUGCCGGCACGGCCCGCGGCGGCUGAAGAAGUUGCCAGGGGCAUCGGGGCAGGGCGGCUACUUCACCGUCCAGUCGGCGCACAUGGCGUCCUUCACCAACGACGAGUGCAAGGUGUACGUGGAGAGCUCGUCGUCAACCGCGUGCGACCUCGCCGACGAACCUGCUGCCGGCGAGGGGCUGCCGCUCAAGUUCAAGACCUUCGUCCAGCGCGGCGACGGGCUGCAGGCGCUCUACUCCGUCGGCAACUUCUUCGUCCGCCCCAGCGACCCCAACAACUGCUACUGA